ensembl:lncRNA
AGGUGUUCCACUAUUAGAUGAUUGACUAAAGAAUGGAAGGAAACAGAAGACAGAAGCCUUUAUCUUAAUCUUUCUUUGCUUAAAGAAUCCAUCAGAAUUGACUCAUCUCAAUGAAGUACCUGCCCUGUGCCAUGGUCCUGAGAGGGACGAUGAUUUUCAAGAGGCUGGGACUUCAGAGGAUGCAAGUGCUUCAAAGGGACGUGAACGAAGACUACUGGUGCACGGUCCGAUAAAGUUAAGAACGGGUAAUAAGAAAACAAAGCAUCAGGCUUUUUUGUACAAGGACGUACUGAAAAUCUCGAACAUUCGGUAGGUGCAUAUGCUGCAUGCUGUCCUGAUCAUCGUGAAAUAUAUUGUCUCUAACAAAAUUCAUUUUCAUGCACUCUUUCUCAGCAAGUAGCAUGUUUUUACUUUGUUUUUGCCAGUGAUUUCAUUCUUCACUUAUUAAACAAGUAGUCAUGGAAGUUUUAUUCUGUAUUGUGCCCCUGUAGACAGUGGAAUCAAGAAUGGGAGAGACAGGGUUCCUCUCUCUCUCUCUCUCUCUCUCUUUGAACAUUUAUUUAUUUUAAAGGAAGAGUUAGAGAGAGGUAGAGGCAGUGAGAGAAAGAGAAGGGCGGGGGAGAAAGAGACACAGAGAGAGACAGAGACAGUCUUCCAUCCGCUGGUU